CUGUCUCUUGCUUCAACCGUGUUUGGACAGAACAG
rfam:Myotis lucifugus cont2.19973, whole genome shotgun sequence.